UACGUAGGGGGCAAGCGUUGUCCGGAAUCAUUGGGCGUAAAGCGCGUGUAGGCGGCUCGAUAAGUCCGCUCUGAAAGCCCGGGGCUCAACCCCGGUAGGCGGGCGGAAACUGUCGGGCUAGAGUCCGGAAGAGGCGAGUGGAAUUCCCGGUGUAGCGGUGAAAUGCGCAGAUAUCGGGAGGAACACCAAUGGCGAAGGCAGCUCGCUGGGACGUGACUGACGCUGAGACGCGAAAGCGUGGGGAGCAAACAGG
rnacentral:rRNA from 1 species